GUAGGGUGCGAGCGUUAAUCGGAAUUACUGGGCGUAAAGCGUGCGCAGGCGGUUGUGUAAGACAGGUGUGAAAUCCCCGGGCUUAACCUGGGAACUGCGCUUGUGACUGCACGGCUAGAGUAUGGCAGAGGGGGGUGGAAUUCCACGUGUAGCAGUGAAAUGCGUAGAGAUGUGGAGGAACACCGAUGGCGAAGGCAGCCCCCUGGGCCAAUACUGACGCUCAUGCACGAAAGCGUGGGGAGCAAAC
rnacentral:rRNA from 1 species